rnacentral:rRNA from 1 species
AGAGUUUGAUCAUGGCUCAGAAUGAACGCUGGCGGCGUGCCUAACACAUGCAAGUUGAGCGGUAAGGCCCCUUCGGGGGUACACGAGCAGCGAACGGGUGAGUAUCGCGUGGGUAAUCUACCUAGAGGUGUGGGAUAGCCUCGGGAAACCGGGGGUAAUACCGCAUGAGUCCUCGACGACAUAAGUCGACGAGGGGAAAGGCGGGGCUCCUUCGGGACCUGUCGCCUCUAGAUGAGCCCGCGUCCGAUUAGCUAGUUGGUGGGGUAAUGGCCCACCAAGGCGACGAUCGGUAGCCGGCCUGAGAGGGUGAACGGCCACACUGGCACUGAGAUACGGGCCAGACUCCUACGGGAGGCAGCAGUGAGGAAUCUUGCGCAAUGGGCGAAAGCCUGACGCAGCAACGCCGCGUGGGUGAUGAAGGCCUUCGGGUCGUAAAACCCUUUUCUGGGGGAAGAGGAAGGACGGUACCUCAGGAAUAAGUCUCGGCUAACUACGUGCCAGCAGCCGCGGUAAAACGUAGGAGGCAAGCGUUAUCCGGAUUCACUGGGCGUAAAGAGCGCGCAGGCGGCUCCAUAAGUCGGACGUGAAAGCCCCUGGCUUAACUGGGGGAGGUCGCUCGAUACUGUGGGGCUUGAGGUCGGGAGAGGGAAGCGGAAUUCCCGGUGUAGUGGUGAAAUGCGUAGAUAUCGGGAGGAACACCAGUGGCGAAGGCGGCUUCCUGGCCCGCACCUGACGCUAAAGCGCGAAAGCGUGGGUAGCAAACGGGAUUAGAUACCCCGGUAGUCCACGCCCUAAACGAUGGCAACUAGGUGUUGGGGGCUAUUAACCCCCUCAGCGCCGAAGCUAACGCGAUAAGUUGCCCGCCUGAGGACUACGAGCGCAAGCUUAAAACUCAAAGGAAUUGACGG